UACGUAGGGGGCGAGCGUUAUCCGGAUUUAUUGGGCGUAAAGGGUGCGUAGGCGGUUUGUUAAGUCUAAAAUUAAAGCCUGGGGCUUAACCCCAGUUCGUUUUAGAAACUGGCAGACUUGAGUAUGGUAGAGGCAAAUGGAAUUUCUAGUGUAGCGGUUAAAUGCGUAGAUAUUAGAAGGAACACCAGUGGCGAAGGCGAUUUGCUGGGCCAUUACUGACGCUGAGGCUCGAAAGCGUGGGGAGCAAAUAGG
rnacentral:rRNA from 1 species